AACACGUGGGGAACCUGCCCCAUAGUCUGGGAUACCACUUGGAAACAGGUGCUAAUACCGGAUAAGAAAGCGGAUCGCAUGAUCAGCUUUUAAAAGGCGGCGUAAGCUGUCGCUAUGGGAUGGCCCCGCGGUGCAUUAGCUAGUUGGUAAGGUAAAGGCUACCAAGGCGAUGAUGCAUAGCCGAGUUGAGAGACUGAUCGGCCACAUUGGGACUGAGACACGGCCCAAACUCCUACGGGAGGCAGCAGCC
rnacentral:rRNA from 1 species